CCUACGGGGGGCAGCAGUGGGGGAUAUUGGACAAUGGGGGGAACCCUGAUCCAGCGACGCCGCGUGAGUGAAGAAGUAUUUCGGUAUGUAAAGCUCUGUCAGCAGGGAAGAAAGAAAUGACGGUACCUGACCAAGAAGCCCCGGCUAACUACGUGCCAGCAGCCGCGGGAAUACGUAGGGGGCAAGCGUUAUCCGGAAUUACUGGGUGUAAAGGGAGCGUAGACGGUUAAGUAAGUCUGGAGUGAAAGGCCGGGGCCCAACCCCGGGACUGCUCUGGAAACUAUUGAACUUGAGUGCAGGAGAGGUAGGCGGAAUUCCUAGUGUAGCGGUGAAAUGCGUAGAUAUUAGGAGGAACACCAGUGGCGAAGGCGGCUUACUGGACUGUAACUGACGUUGAGGCUCGAAAGCGUGGGGAGCAAACAGGAUUAGAUACCCGUGUAGUC
rnacentral:rRNA from 1 species